AUUGAACGCUAGCGGCAUGCCUUACACAUGCAAGUCGAACGGAGUGGCGAACGGGUGAGUAAUGUAUCUGAACGUGCCCAGUAGCGGGGGAUAACUACGCGAAAGCGUAGCUAAUACCGCCUACUCUUGGAGCGGCCGAUACCGGAUUAGCUAGUUGGUGGGGUAACGGCUCACCAAGGCGACGAUCCGUAGCUGGUUUGAGAGGACGACCAGCCACACUGGGACUGAGACACGGCCCAGACUCCUACGGGAGGCAGCAGUGGGGAAUAUUGGACAAUGGGGGAAAGCCUGAUGCAGCCAUCCCGCGUGUGUGAUGAAGGCCUUCGGGUUGUAAAGUACUUUUAGCAGGAAAGCGGUACCUGCAGAAUAAGCACCGGCUAACUACGUGCCAGCAGCCGCGGUAAUAC
rnacentral:rRNA from 1 species